GCCAGUGUGGUGUUGUGGUUUGAGCAUUGGACUAGGACUCUGAGGACCAAGGUUCAAGUCCCUGCUCGGCCA